rnacentral:lncRNA from 1 species
UGGAAAAUCUGACGGCUUUUCUCUUUUUCCUGAAAAUUAUGAUUGAGACUGUGAUAUCUGUCACUUUACUGUAUUACUGACUGUGUUCUCAGGUAUUUUAUUGGCUAGAAAGCUCUUGAAAGAUUGGUCAACAUUAUGGAUCACCAGCCUUUCCAGACCAGUGGCUCUGGGUCUGUCUUGCUGUCUAGUGUGAGAGUAGGGCUUUUCGGUGAGCUAACCAGGGAUUGUUCGUAAUGUACCUGACUUUUCUUGCAAUUGAAGUUCCACCAUCGUUAUAUUCAUAGUAACCUCCAUUGUUUUCAUGCCUUAGUAAUACGUGAGCUGCAGACAUGUCGCCCCACAUCAGAAUGUAAGUGUUCAUAGUAUAGUUCAUGCAUGUUUGAAUAGUUCUAAAUCUGCUGCUUCUUGCCAAAAAAGAAUACGUAGGUUUAAAUUGACAUUUAGAAAAAUUUCAGUGCUAGUGGCUGGCUGAAAACCUGCACGGUAACAUUUAGACUUUUUGGUAGAAAGUCUGUGUGUAAAUUUAGCAGUUUUGUUAGACGGCCAAAACAUUAUUUAACUCCAGUGAAGGUUAAGAGGAAACUUAGUCUUAUUUAAGUUAUAUUUAAGAUCUGUGAUAGGAACCAUAAAUACUGCCUGACAAAGCAGAAAUCACCAAGUUUCCUCAUUUGGACUACUACCAAGAAAUGUUAAAACACCAAAUAGAUAAUGGUAUUAUUUUGAGCAUUUGCUGUUUUCUUUUCUGAUGUAUGUGAUGUCUCAGAGUCAACAGUCUUUUAAAAUAAGAUCUGGGAUAUAUUUUGAGGCAAUAAAUUACUUAUCGUUAAUGGCAGGCUUGUUUAGAAACUAAGUUUCGAUCUGAAGGCUUUAGUCCAUGUUUUUUAUUUACUGUAUUUUUAAACCAUUUGAAGGAGUCCUUCACCUGUCUCAUGAAAACUAGAUCCUUUUGAAAUACCACUAUACGAAGGGGAAGAUGAAAUUUAGUGAACAAAAUUGAAAGGGUGCGCGUGGUUUUCACUAUGCCAAUUUCUCCCAUUUCUAAAAAAGUAAGUUUAAAGUCCUUUGGUGCGCUCGAUUUUCUAGGUCUUCAUGAUUAUGAUUUGGAGUAAAAUGUGCCUAAUUCUCUUGUUACACUCUGUUCUUAAAUCUGAAUGUCUUCUCAUUUAGUUCUUAAGAGAUGUCUCAGAAGUGUCUUCAUUUGUGAUAUACAGAAAUUUGUGAUAUACAGAGUUGCCUUAUAAAUCAAAGAACACCACACAUUUGGGCCUUGAUUUUUUUAUAGGGAAAAGUUUUUGUCAAAUGUUUUCUGAAGAUCCAAAUAAUUUAAGGCAUGCCUCUACCACUUAAAUAUUAUUUGUAAUAACCUGAAUCAUUGCUUUCUGCCAAGUAUUGUGUUAAACUGAAAUCUUCAUUUCAGUUUUGUCUGGAAAGGGCACUUGAGAGUUGGAAAGCAACCACAGCCAAAGAAGGCGGUGAGGGGGGAAACAGUCGUUCGUUUGUUUUACUCUUUGAAGUUGCAUUGGCGUGUGUUUUACACACUGAAGAUCCUCUGGUUAAUCUCGCAAGUGAGAUUGUUUAGGGAAAUCCUUACUCAGUUGGUAGCAGUGGUUGGUUUAAGUAAAAGGAAGUAAGAUUAUCUUACUACCGGAAAUAAUUAGAAGUAUUGAUUUAGAUUCAACAGAAAUCAUAUGCCCUAUAAUUUUUUGUAAGAGUGAAUGAAUUAGUCUUAACUUCCAAUAUAUACCCAAAUACUUGUAUGUAUGCUUUUGAUAAAAUGUAUUUUCAGCAUUAGUACACAUAUCCGGUUAUGCCUUAUUUAUGUGAAGAAUAAAGUUACCAAGUUAUGUUCUGUUAUGUUCUGAAACUCAGAUCACUAGUUGAGAAGCCCUCAAAUUGGUGCUUUCAUUAUAUAAUGAUACAUUUAGACAAAACCCCAAACCAAGCCGUUUGAAACAAUAUUCUCUCCAUUGCAAUGUGUAGCAAUGUUAUUUCUGUAUAUGUAAUGAGAAGGCUAAAUAUCAGUGUUAACUCUUAGUUUUUUGUUUGAAUCCAUGAAAUCAUGCUUGUAAAAGCUCAGUCAAACAUUUGUAACAAACUCCCUAAUAAAUCUAGAGAAAGUCACUCUGUUACCUUUUCAUUUCUUUUAGUUUUAUUUGAGGAAUCUAGCUGAGAAAGUUUACAUGUGUCUUUUUCAUUUGGAAAUCUGACUUAG